GGUUUUCGGACCUAGAGACCGGCGCACGGGUGCGUAACGCGUAUGCAAUCUACCUUUUACAGAGGGAUAGCCCAGAGAAAUUUGGAUUAAUACCUCAUAGUAUUAUUGAAUGGCAUCAUUUAAUAAUUAAAGUCACAACGGUAAAAGAUGAGCAUGCGUCCCAUUAGCUUGUUGGUAAGGUAACGGCUUACCAAGGCAACGAUGGGUAGGGGUCCUGAGAGGGAGAUCCCCCACACUGGUACUGAGACACGGACCAGACUCCUACGGGAGGCAGCAGUGAGGAAUAUUGGUCAAUGGGCGCAAGCCUGAACCAGCCAUGCCGCGUGCAGGAUGAAGCAUCUAUGGUGUGUAAACUGCUUUUGUACGAGAAGAAACACUCCUACGUGUAGGAGCUUGACGGUAUCGUAAGAAUAAGGACCGGCUAACUCCGUGCCAGCAGCCGCGGUAAUACGGAGGGUCCAAGCGUUAUCCGGAAUCAUUGGGUUUAAAGGGUCCGUAGGCGGUUUAGUAAGUCAGUGGUGAAAGCCCAUCGCUCAACGGUGGAACGGCCAUUGAUACUGCUAGACUUGAAUUAUUGGGAAGUAACUAGAAUAUGUAGUGUAGCGGUGAAAUGCUUAGAGAUUACAUGGAAUACCAAUUGCGAAGGCAGGUUACUACCAAUAUAUUGACGCUGAUGGACGAAAGCGUGGGGAGCGAACAGGAUUAGAUACCCUGGUAGUCCACGCCGUAAACGAUGGAUACUAGCUGUUCGGAGCAAUCUGAGUGGCUAAGCGAAAGUGAUAAGUAUCCCACCUGGGGAGUACGUUCGCAAGAAUGAAACUCAAAGGAAAUGACGGGGGCCCGCACAAGCG
rnacentral:rRNA from 1 species